AGAGAGAGACAUGCGCGCAUAUCAAUAAGCGGAGGAAAAGAAACUAACUAAGGAUUCCCUCAGUAACGGCGAGUGAGGCGGGAAGAGCUCAAAUUUGAAAUCUUCAAGGUUCUACCUUGACGAAUUGUAGUUUAAAGAAGUGUUUUCUGUUGAAGUUUUGGUAAAAGUUCUUUGGAAUAGGACAUCAUAGAGGGUGAGAAUCCCGUAUUUGACCAUUAUUUUCAGCUUUGUGAUACACUUUCAAAGAGUCGGAUUGUUUGGGAAUGCAGUCCAAAAUGGGUGGUAAAUUUCAUCUAAAGCUAAAUAUUGGCGAGAGACCGAUAGCGAACAAGUACCGUGAGGGAAAGAUGAAAAGAACUUUGAAAAGAGAGUUAAACAGUACGUGAAAUUGUCAAAAGGGAAGCGUUUGACACCAGUGUUGUUUUCUCGAAAAUCAAUUAAAAAUGGCUCGAUUUUGUAUUGCUUGAGACCUUAAAAGCUCACUGUACAUUUUUCGUGUCUUUUUUAAUGCACUUUUCGUUUAACAAGUCAACAUCAGUUUCUUUUGUUGUAAAAGGGUCAUUGGAAGGUGGCUUUCUUUUCGGAGAAAGUGUUUAUAGCCUUUGGCCUCUGCAAUCGAAGAGACUGAGGUCUGCAGCGUAGACUCUUCGGGGUUAGAUACAUUUGUGCUAAGUUAUAGCUUUUUAUAGACAACUUGUUGACUAUAAUUAGUCUUGUAGCUUACUCGCUUAUGCUAUUUUACCUACGCUUAGGAUGUUGAAGUCAUCGUAUCGCGC
rnacentral:rRNA from 1 species